rnacentral:lncRNA from 1 species
UGUGUACAUUGUAAGAUAUAAAAAUCUUAAGAUAUUUGAUUAUCUUUUUUUGCCUAUCUUUUUUUAAGAUAUUUGAUUACCUUCUUUUUGUCUUUCUCAAUGCCACAUACAGUCCUAUGUAAGAACAUGCCACCAUUAUCAAAAACAUUUGUCAAGCUUCAUAUGUACGUAGUUAUAUACUACUGAUGUGGGGAAGACUUAGUGAAAGACAUAGCCUAAGACAGAAAAAUGUCUUAAAUGGCUUACCUGUGUGGGACCCAGGAGCUGGACAAGACUGCUAUCUGGUAGUUGCUUCCCUACUGCGAGACAUCUGAGUUGAAGUUCCAUGCCAGAACACACUUGCAGUCUUUUCUGGUCUUUAUACCAAUAGUUGCACUCCAGAUGUUAAUAGAUAAUAAGAGAAAUGCCUUUAUUCUGUGUUCAAGUACUUUAGAAAGCAUUAAAGUGAGAUAAAGUUAAUUGUCUCUCUAGAAGAUAUAUGACUUGGCCAGAAAAAGAAUAUAACUUUUUUCAAUUUGGAGCCAUGUGGUCCAAUUAAACAUUACUUAGUAGGUAGCUGGAGGGAUUGGGAUUUUUGCAUUUAAUUUCUGACACCUCAAGGAAGGGCACAAAGUUGCUUUUUAGUGGAGAAGAUUCCUUAAAGUUUGUAAACAAUUGAAUGUCUUUUUCAAGGUCUUUAUGCAUCACUUCAAUUAUCUAUAAUUUUUUAUCUGUCACUUAUUAUAUCUGAGGGUAAUUUGAAUUAGUCUACAUUUGUCAACAUUAAAUUUCAUUUGCCACAUGUCAGCCUAUUUAAGAAGCAAAUUCAAAAUGUAUUAGAAUGCAUUAGAUGUAAGUUUGAAC